UACAGAGGUCCCAAGCGUUGUUCGGAUUCACUGGGCGUAAAGGGUGCGUAGGCGGUCGGGUAAGUCUGAUGUGAAAUCUCACAGCUUAACUGUGAAACUGCAUUGGAUACUAUUCGGCUUGAGAGUUGGAGGGGGGACUGGAAUUCUUGGUGUAGCAGUGAAAUGCGUAGAUAUCGGGAGGAACACCAGUGGCGAAGGCGGCUCACUGGCCCGGUACUGACGCUGAGGCGCGAAAGCGUGGGGAGCAAACAGGG
rnacentral:rRNA from 1 species